AGGCCAGCCAGAGAGUCUGCAGACCUAAGUACGCUGUGCAGAGAUUUAGACAAAACUGUCAAUAGUCGUGCUAUGACAUGAGCCUUAAAGAUGAUCAAAGUCAUUAACGACCAUGAGAAUGGCUACAAAA